rnacentral:rRNA from 1 species
GUGGGGAAUAUUGCGCAAUGGAGGCAACUCUGACGCAGCCAUGCCGCGUGCAGGAAGAAGGCGCUACGCGUUGUAAACUGCUUUUAACCGGGAAGAAACCCCAGGACGUGUCCUGGGUUGACGGUACCGGAGGAAUAAGCACCGGCUAACUUUGUGCCAGCAGCCGCGGUAAUACGAAGGGUGCAAGCGUUAUCCGGAUUCAUUGGGUUUAAAGGGUGCGUAGGCGGAGCGUUAAGUCAGUGGUGAAAUCCUGCAGCUUAACUGUAGACUUGCCAUUGAUACUGGCGCUCUUGAGUGCGCUUGAAGUGGGCGGAAUGUGCCGUGUAGCGGUGAAAUGCUUAGAUAUGGCACAGAACACCAAUUGCGAAGGCAGCUCACUAAGGCGAUACUGACGCUGAGGCACGAAAGCGUGGGGAUCGAACAGGAUUAGAAACCCGGGUAGUCC